rnacentral:lncRNA from 1 species
CAACUUUUAGGAAGAGGACUUGAUUGGUAGAAGGAAGCCAGCCUUGCUAUUCAGGCAGUGGUCCAUGUAAUGGUGAGCCAUUUCUCAUUGGAUUUAAUAUGACUUCCCACAAGCUGCAAGCCAAGCAAUGCCAAGCCACUAUGACCAAGAAGCUGAUUGCUACAGGCUGGCCAGAAAGGGAGACAGUGACUAAGGAGCUCAGAGUUUGGAGAGAGAACCUUUUAAUACUUGUCAGUGCCUGCUUCAAGUCCCUAGCCAACCAUUCCCAUGAUUAAAUGACAGAACAGGUCUAUUUACCAGUUCCAGAGCUAGAUGAUGAGGAUGGUGAUGAGGAAUAUUGCAAGCAAAAUAUGUUGAGAUGAUCCAGGAUGAAGUCUUUUUCAUGCCCUCGUGGAUGGCAGUCAGCAUUGGGCUUUUCACAUGCUAAGCAGGAGUUUGUUAUUUCAUCUUCAAGAAUAUUUGCUCAGUUUAGGUAUGGACUGAAUGAAUGGUUAAUUUGAAGGAAAAAAGGCACUGAAGUACAACCAUGAUGACUUCAUAGAAUCAUAGAGCAGUUAGGGCCAGAAGGAAACCUAAAAUUCA